rnacentral:tRNA from 1 species
CGGGCGGUAGCUCAGCUUGGUAGAGCUUCCGGCUGUAGACCGGAGCGUCGCAGGUUCAAAUCCUGCCCGCCCGACCA